AAAGAGAGCCUGGGCCCAAAGGAGAAGUGGGUGCCCCAGGCGUGCUGGGCUCUGCAGGAACAAGAGGCUCCCCAGGUCCCAAAGGAGAGAAAGGUGCCCCUGGGCCUGCAGGACCCAUGGGUAUACCGGGACCUCCAGGUGCCUGGGGCCUCUCAGGACCGAAGGGGGACAGAGGUGAUCCUGGGUCCAGAGGAGAAAAGGGAGAGAGUGGCU